AGUGGAGUCUUGUCCGCAGUUUGAGUCCUGAGUGGGAACUCGAUAUCUGUGACACUGACACACAAUCUAGUCCACAGAGGAGCGGCUCCCCAAGUUCAGAGAGGACUUGUGCGGCCCUCGGAGAUAUGACCCGGAUGGACCCUUCGCCCCUUCGCAGUGCUGGGAGUCCCUGGAUGGACGAGAGGACAGGCAGGGACAGAUCCCGCAGAACUUCAGAGUCCAGAGAUGUCAGGGAACAAGAGAGUGGCUACUUCUCUCCAAACCGAAGAAAUGAUGGUGAACAUCCGAUGGAGGGCACCAACAAAAGGUCUUAUCGUUACUACGAGAGGGGUCACCCGCUCCCCAACAACUAUGUUCCUGAGCCCAAAGCCACGGUUCCAUACAGGAACGUUAAUCUCGGUAUUCCCUCCCAGAGGAGAAACCCUGAAACUUACAUGCAGGACACUUGGAGAAGUGAAUCCCCUCAGAGAUAUUCCUACCACUCCAAUUUUAGA